GAUUAAUAUCAUUUUUAUUUGAACCAGACCUUGAAAUAGGCUUUGGAAUACAGAGCCAGGAGAAGCUGCAUUUAACAGGAAGGGAAGGAUGUGGAGAGCGUCAAGAAAGACAAGGAGACCUGAAAGCGGAAAAGCAAAUCCGUUCCCAUUGACUGGAGACCAAGCGUCUUAAGAAGAAUUGUGCAGUAAAGAAGAGUAUUAACACUUUCUGAAUUUUUCCAAGGUGCUAAAACUCUGCACACAUUAAUUCAUUUAAUAUUCACAACAACCCCGAAAAGAAAGUGUAACUUCCUUCAUUUCACACAUGAAGAAUCUGAUGCACUGAGCCUUGAGCAGCACGGCCAAGCUUGUAAGGGGGAGAGAGGAUGCUAACUCAGUCGUCUGAUUCUGAAGCUCAUGCCCUUCACUCGCUCCACACCUGUGCCUCCCCAACAGCCACUGUUCAGUUUGGACAGCACCUCUCCUGAGCUUUCCCUUGGCUCCCACAAGCACAUAGUUUUGCUGUUUCUGAGGACAUUCAAGAGCCUGAUCUUCAGCUAGGAAAGCAACACCCAAAAUGCUCUGCGCUGAAAUACAUAUUGCCAGAUGCCUCCUGAAGGUGACUACCCGUGCAGUUCAACAUUCAUUUAAAAGUGUAAGAUCUCUGGAUGGUCUUGAAGCAUCAGUCACAUUUCUUGUAUUCACACCUCUGUGCUACCUUGGAGUAGUAGCAAAUUAAGCCGGAAUUAGCUUUUCACGCUGAAUGAUUUUAUAAAGUUUGCUUCAAACUCCUGCAGCUUGACUACUUUAAGUGCCAAAAAAAACAGCCAAUAUGGUGGAAACGGCAUUUAAAGCAGGUACAUAAAUUUACUCCAAGAUCCUGGACUGUGUGCUUCCACAAUUCCUUUUUUUUUAAAUCGCUUCUUCUAGCUCUCAGUCAAAUAAAAAGAAGACAGUUGGAACAAGAAUUUUAAAAAUGUUACUUCUGUCCAAAAAGAACCAUUAGUGACAAAUGUGUCUUUUAUAUCAAGGAGUAAAUUCAGCCAGGGAAACAAACAAACAAACCAGCAUGUCUUUGAGAAUGGGAAUUGACAUUUGAGAGAGAAUUGACAUUUGGUAAGUUUAAAAAUAGUUACUCCAGUAGAUAGAGCAUCUGCCCACUAAAAAUAUGAACCAACACACAGGCUCGCUGCAGUGUGGGGCUCGGACCAGGUUAUUGGGCUAUUCAAUAAUGCCCUAUUUUUAGGGCAGUGGAGCCAGGAAAAAAAAACACCCUGGCUUCAGUGGCUCAAUUAAACAUGUAAUUCAAGGGCAUAUAGAGCACAUCUCUGAAAUAUCUAGAAAUAAGAACUUGGAAUUCAGAACACACUUUUCUGCUGUGGUUACAGGAAGGGAGACCGAGGUGAUCACUGAGUCUAUUCUUGUGAUGGUGGAGAUAUUGAUUGUCAGGACUGGGAGAACCUUAGAGAUGACCUUGUACUGGACAUUUGAUGUUUAUGGGCUGCCCAGAAUCUGAACCUGCCUUUGGAGUAUAGCUGGGAGGCAGAGCCUACUUCCUUCUCUAGAAAGCUGUUUUCCCAGUUCUCCUGGCGGUGAGGGCUCUAAUAAAUGACCCAGCUCAGAAUGUCAGCUGCACCUGCUCAGGUUUUUGAGUCAGGAGUUAAUGACGCAAAGAAGGAGGGAGAGCAGAGAAUUCUUUCCGAGGAUAGAGGCAAAGGCAGUAACAUCCGGCUCCCCAGGGCAAUGUGGCUGAUGGUGCCAACAGGAGUGUCUGGUGCCCAUUCCUAGCACAAGUGCAAGCUGUGACACUCAGUGUGCAAUGGCAUAGUGGCCAGGGUGGCCCUGCUGGAAUCUGGAUCCUGGUGGGGUCUCUGGUCCUGGUUUACCUGUGCAGGUUUCCUUGUUCCUGCUUGAUAUCUCUGGACCUUCAGGCUUCUUGGAAACCCAGUGAGCUGGCCAAUCCCCUUUCAAUCCAUCCAUUUUCUGCUUCAGUUACCCAGAGGCAAUAUUUAUGCUUUGCAACAAAGAACCCUGGCUGCUAUAAUAAUCCAACCCUGUUAUUUUACAGAUUGAAUUAAUAAUAGUAGGUAAAGAACACACAGCUCAUUAGCAUCAAACCUCGACCUAGAAAGCAAGUCUUAUGAGUCUCAAUUUAGUGUGUACAUCUUCAUGUGGUUCAGGCUGACAGGAUGGAUGCUUCCUGUGGACAUGCCCUCCUUGUUCUGUCCUGCCCAGAGGUCACCACUGUCAUUAUCUACCAGCCAAAUUGUCUAUAUCCUUAUGGUCAUAUAUAUCUAAAAAGAACAAAUUUUAAAAAUUGUCUCUAUUUUUCUGAGUCAUUUCAAAAGCCAUUCCACUGGGCCCUAUCUGAUAGGCCCUGUCAUUGUAACCUAUCUGGCUACAAAGUAUCUUUAGUUUUCCCUCUUUAAAAAAAAAAAAAAAUGUUAUCAAGUGCCUACUAUGUGUCUAGCUCUACUUAGGGAUUCUAUAGCAAGGAAAACAGAAAUGGAUUCAGGCAUCAUGAGUAUUACCAUAAAGAAGAAAAGACAGAUAUUAAUCUAAUAAACAUAAAAUUAUAAACUGAAAACAACUAAGAAAGGAGAAUAUAGACAGUUAUGACAGCAUCCUAUGGGGCCUUUUCUAAGUUAAGAAAGAAUCUCUGAAAGUUUCUCAAAAGGCUAGGCAUGGAAUCACCAAAUGAUCCUUCUAUACUACCCCUUGGUGUUUAUCAUAAAGAAUUAAAGUCAUCAUACUAUGGUGAUACAUGCAUACCCACAUUUGUGGCAGCACCAAUUCACAAUAACCAAACCAUGGGUACAGCCUCUGUGUCCAUCAAUGAAUGAAUGGAUAAAGAAAAUGUGGCAUAUAUACACAUGGAGUUUAUUUAGCCAAAAAUAAAAAUGAAAUAAUGUCAUUUGCAGGAAAAUGAAUGGAACUAGAGACCAUGUAAGUGAAAUAAGUCAAACUCAGAAGAUUAAAGGUUAUAUGUUUUCUCUCCUAUGCAGAAGCUAGACAAGAAGAAGGAAAAGAAAGUUAGGGGGAGACCUCAUGAAAAUCAAGGGGAGAUCAGUAAAGGAAAGGGACCAAUCACUGAGAGUUGGGGAGGGAAAGGGGAAGUGCUGAGGAGUGAUAUUAGCCAAAUCAUAUUGUUAUGUUGUACGCAUAUAUGAAUAUGUAACAACAAAUCCCAUCAUUAUGUACUAUA
rnacentral:lncRNA from 1 species